AUUGAACGCUGGCGGUAUGCCUUACACAUGCAAGUCGAACGGCAGCACGGGUGCUUGCACCUGGUGGCGAGUGGCGAACGGGUGAGUAAUACAUCGGAACAUGUCCUGUAGUGGGGGAUAGCCCGGCGAAAGCCGGAUUAAUACCGCAUACGAUCUACGGAUGAAAGCGGGGGACCUUCGGGCCUCGCGCUAUAGGGUUGGCCGAUGGCUGAUUAGCUAGUUGGUGGGGUAAAGGCCUACCAAGGCGACGAUCAGUAGCUGGUCUGAGAGGACGACCAGCCACACUGGGACUGAGACACGGCCCAGACUCCUACGGGAGGCAGCAGUGGGGAAUUUUGGACAAUGGGCGAAAGCCUGAUCCAGCAAUGCCGCGUGUGUGAAGAAGGCCUUCGGGUUGUAAAGCACUUUUGUCCGGAAAGAAAUCCUUGGCCCUAAUACGGUCGGGGGAUGACGGUACCGGAAGAAUAAGCACCGGCUAACUACGUG
rnacentral:rRNA from 1 species